ensembl:lncRNA
CGGAGCCCCCGGCACCCUGCGGCCGGGCGUCACCCACGCGUGGGGCGGGGGCGGCGGGACUCGGCCGGCAACAGCCGUCGAGGAAAUCGGGACCGAGGAGCGGCGGGGCGGCCGAGAUGAUAGCACAAAUCUCUAUCGGUGGAGCCUACAGCUGCAGACAAACCUUGAAGAAGGUCUCCUACAGCAGCAUGAAAGGCUGCUGACCAGAGGCCAUUAGAACAUGACUGGGAAGAGGAAGACUUGGCUGUGACUGGGCUGGUACCUUCACAGAAGGCCCUCGAACAACUGUUUAUUUCCAGAGUCUUCCCGGGUGGAUAUGACAGCCUGAAGUGCCCAGAUUUCAGACAGCCUAUUCCUUGUUAGCCCCCUGACCCACAGGAGUGGACAGCAGUCAAGGUGGUAAAAAGAAAACAAAAAGCACCUUCAAGCAAAGGUAUUAUACAUUACAUGGCAAUUAUCAUCUUGCCAUUUGAAGAAUCAUUACCACCUCCACUUUGCUGAAAGAAAAGCCAUGUAACUGAAGUCUACUUCGUGGCAAAUGAACAAGACUACAAGAGAAGCCUAUUUAAUUCUAUCUGUAAUUCUCUGAAACCAGUAUGAAGCUAUGAUUCAAGUUAACGUUGUUACCAUCGUCCCUAUCUGAGAAGAAACUGUUUCUGUCAAUACUUGAAUGUGAUGGGGAUGAGCAGGAGGAAGAUGUGAAGUCUAAUCUCAGCAGAUGGUUGUCAAAACUGCGCAGAGUGACUGAGAAUGUAGAAAGAAAUAAGAAGAGAGUUUCCCCCAUUUUGUCUUUAUGUCAUGAAUAGUGAAUAAAUCAUACAUUAUAGACAAAUCAAAAAUCGUAAAAACUAGGUAAAAUGAAAAUAAUGAAAACAGUUUUGUUGAAAUGUAUUUUGAAGAUAAAUGUAUGUGAUUACUCAUUGACCUUAAAUGAAUGUUGAUAUGACUGAAAACAGUAAAAAUGGAUAUAUGUGUUGUAUUCAUGCAUUGAUAGUCUCAUAUUGGAGAUAUUACAAGAAUGAUUCAUGUUGACAAGAAAGGAAGAAUGUCUUUCAAGCUGUUACUUAGUUACUGACAAAUCAAGUAUGUCAAUUGGACACUAGGAUGAGCAAAGCAGACUUGUAAAACAGAUAGAUUGCUAUAAGUUUCACUUCUGAUCAUAGCUGGAAAUCUGAAUGUUAACCCAAACUUUCUCUCCUUUUACAGACUUCUUAUUCAUUGAUCUAUACUCUGUGUCUUGAUUUGUGUUGGAAAAUCAUGGAUUAGAAAUGUACUUUCUUAUUUGAAAAAGUUUCUAGAUACAGACCUGUGCUAUUUAUUUUCUGUGUGGUUGGAAUGGACAGAACAAAAAUAGACAUUUGAACUAACGAAACAGGAUAUGUCUACAAGCCUUUUUGAAUAGUGUUUGAUUGCUUUACAAUAUUUUUCUCUGUAAAUGUGCAUAUAUUAUAUUUUGAUGCUCACACAUGCAAAAGUCAUUCCUUAAUGGAUUUUUUUAUAAACAGGCUAGGACUAUGUAAGUGACUUAGUGUCACUACAGAAUGUGUUUGUGGUUAUAGGGUUACUUAACCUCUCGCUUCAGCAGAAUUUAUCUGACUCACAGAAUAGAAGUACUGCAACAUGAAUUUCAAGUUAAGUGGGUGCCUUCGAAUGGUGUUAAAUCAAGGAUUUUCACUGACUCAUUAAUAAAUACACUUUACAUUAAGCACUGUUGUAUUAUAUUUAGUAUAUGUAAAAUACACAUAAUGUAAUUCUACAGUAAUUAUAAUAACAGUAAAGGAUAAAAUUACUUUAGAAACAGAUUAAACUGACUUUCUUCUGAGAUCAUUUGUAUCUGAAUUUCUGCUUUAAAGUGUAUGUUUUUUUUCUUUGUUUGUUUGUUUGUUUUUCAUUCCUUUUGCCAUUCUGAAAAACAGUGAAUUAGAUCUAGUCUGUUCCCAACAAUUUUCAAUUACUAUUGCCUCCUACUCAAAAAGUAAAGAAACUGCAAUUUUUUUAUAUAAGCAUUCUUGUUCAAAAGUCAUAGGUUAAUUUGAAUACUGAAAAUCUGUACACAGCCUUGGCAGCUUAACAGGUAUUUUGAGAACUUGUAAACUAAUUUAUACUAGAAAGAAUAAAAAUUACAAGGGUUACUAAUCUUCAUGCUGAAAUCAUUAAGAUAAUUACCACCAACUGUUUUAUUAUCCAAGUAUAUCAGGGGAAAUGUAGUUGCAUCCUGAAGCAAUGAAUGAAAAAAAGAGUAGGUAUGUAUCAAUCUACAAUUUAAAUGACGUACUGAAAAACAGAUAAUUGUGCAUGUGUCUUGUACUGGUACAUAACUUUCCUAUUAGUAAACUUAAAAGGUUUGUCUAUUAAGUGGAAUACUGUCUCUGCAAGAAUAUCUAUUAUUUCUUAAAACAUUGCCAUGUCAAGUCUCCUUUUCUGGUACUUUCCCCCCAUUGCAGUACUCCUGCAUCUAAUUUGAUUUACAAAUCUUCCUCAAGUCACAUAAAGCUAUUAUUCUUCUGGUGUUUUUUUUUUUUUUUUUUUU